rnacentral:rRNA from 1 species
AUGGCCGAAUGCUUCAAUAGGGUGCUCAAAGGUGCACGUGGAUUACCCGUGACGGCAAUAGUUCAAUACACAUUUGACAAGAUGAAUGCGUACUUUGUAAAGUACUCGAUGGAAACCGAUGCACAGAUAGCGGGUGAGAACCCACGGAAGUACAAGUACAAGUUCCCACCCAAAGUUGAUGAAUGGUUGCUAUUUCAAUCACGGAAAGCGGACUCAGAAGAAGCUAUAUUAUAUGAUAAUGAGGAGUGGAAGUACGAAGUGAAAGAGCCAGGAGGAACCACAAACGAUGGCCGGCAACAUGGAGGUCGGGCUUUCAAGGUGUUGUUAACACAAUGUGAUUGCACUUGCGGGAGGCCAUUGUUGCUUCAUCUCCCAUGCUCACAUUUGUAUGCCGCCGGCCGCGUUAGGAAUGUGGACAUCAAUCACCCACGCACCGUGAGGGAGUCCCAGUUCUCAAUCAUGACGGUCAAGAAAACAUGGGCUCCCCGCUUUCACCCAUACUUUGACCAAUCACAAUGGCCGGAGUAUCAUGGAGUUCAACUAUGGCCGGAUCCG